AGGUGUCUGGAGUUCAGAAGUGUGAUUAUGGUGCCUGCCAUCACUGAAUUCCAGUUUAGAGGUGGAUUCAGUCAUGGAUGUGGUCAGCCUUCUCAGUAGAAUUCUCUGGUCAUGUUUUUGUGUAGAAUAAAAUAGGUGAAAAUCAAAAAAAAAAAAAGUCACAUCUAAUUGAAACUACACAUUUCUUUCAUGGCAAAGGUACAAGUCAGUGCCUUUUUGCAAUUUUUAGGAUCCAUCGUUUACAGCCAUAACAACAACAACAACAAUAUUUGUACUACAGUAGUGUCUAGGAAUGCUUGUCAUGGACCAGGAUCCCAUUGUGCAAGGUGUAAAUGAGGAUCGAUUAUGUACUGGAUAGCAUCUAUCCUUUGAUGCAGAACCGCCACUAGAAUGAAUGAAAUUAUGCACACACAACAAGGGCACACACAAAUUGGUAAUCUACUUGAAGUCAAUGGGAGCAUUGACAGUAGGACUAGGGCCAAAAUAAAAUAAAAUAAAAAAAUCCCUAAGUAUUACCUCCAAUUUUAUUCUUUUCUCAAUCACAAACUACAGCUCAGAACUCUUAUUAAAGGCCAGAGGUUUUAUGAAAAGCACUUUGAUAUUUUAAUUUGAAAAGUACAACUUUUUAUGGGGGAAGGGGUUUUCAAAUGUUAGUCUAAAAACACCUUGGGAAAGUGGUAAUAUUACAAGUUAACAAUUAUGUUAAAACUAUUCUUAAUGUGACAAGAGCACACAAAAUACUUAGGAAAC